rnacentral:lncRNA from 1 species
AUGAUGCCCACCAACCCUCGGCCAGGUCUGGAGGAGGACUGCCUCCAGGAGCUGCUCAAAUACUAUGAAUCUUUACUGAAGCAUAUCCCUGUCAACCAGCCCCCCACCAACUCCACAGAAGCCACCAGUGGUAGUCUCCUGGAAGGACAAGAGGGAGAAGAGGGUGACGUUAGCACUGGGGAAGGAGUGGACGAAAGGGCUGCAGAUGUGUAAUCAAAUCAAAUCAGAAGACGAUGGAGAUGAAGAGGACAUGGAACCUGACUACCAGCCACCUGCCAAGAAGACAAAGUAGAUUGAGCUACACUACAGAGGCGUGCUCUCCAAACUCUGUUUAGCCAUAAUAGUAUUUUUUUUUAAAUGUUGCGCAACAGCUGCAUGCAUGUUCAUGUUUUCUAUCAAGCAUCUGCCGGUUAUAGAGGCCUGAUAAAUAAAUGACUUAAAGCAGCAAAACAGCGUCAUUCAUUCUUGUAAUCUCCAUGUGGAAGUGUACCACUCCAAACAAAAUAAAUACAUUUACAGAAAUGUUAAACAAUGACUGUCCACCAAGGUUUAGGCUUCAAUUUGUGUACGGUCUGUAUUUAUGACGGGUUAUCAAAUCAAAGUUUAUUUGCAGAUGUUAUCGCAGGUGCAGCGAAUUGCUUGUGUUUCUAUCUCCAACAGUGCAGUGAUAAUACCUAGAAAACAAUAAGCACAUUCUCCAAAAGCAAAGGUUGGGCGGUUCUACUAUGACAGCCCUAGUGUGUGUAUCUCUGUUGUGGAGCCUAUGUUCAUACUCAUUCUCUCUUCAGGUAUUAUCAGAAGAGGGUGCUGAUAUCAGAUCUACCUGAAGAGACCCAGAGACAGCAGAGGGAGGCUUGGAGAGAAGCAUCCAGACGCCGUCGUGCCCGCAAAAUGUCCUCCCUUCAGACGAACCCCAAACAGCUCUGCCACCCCCCCCAGAACACAGACACCUGGGGGGACUAGGGGACGACGCAGGGGUGGCAAGUUUGGAUAGCUACUGGACAGUCUUCUUUUGACAUUCCAUACAGACCACUUACUUAAAAUGAGAUGUUGAGCAUGGCCGGUAACAAACGGUUUCAGGACUGAAUAGAUACCUGGUUCAUCUCUGUAAUUGAUGUCAUUGAGCCUAUCAACAGGAGGCACUGUUUGUGCAUGUUCAGGAGUUUCCUGACAGGUUGAACUUACAGGUGUACCUUCUCAUCAUCCAUACUUGCAGCGUUAUUAUAUCAGGUGUUCAAUUUAGCAUAAAAUAUUGUACAGUUUGUAAUAGCAAUAAAGCGAGACAAAUGUUUUUCCUUUUUCAUUUAAACAUACUGUCCAUCUUUUGCACAUUAAUAACAUUUAACUUACUGAAGUAUUUUUCUGAAUUUCAAAUGCUCCUGAUCUGAAACAAUUGGAUAGGUGUUACAGAAUUAUGACCAAAAUAAACACCUUGAUUUUGGAAGAAUAAUACUUAUUUAUAUCUUUAUUACAUUAUGA